GUGAACGCUGGCGGUAGUCCUAACACAUUCAAGUCGAACGGCAACACAGUAAGAGCUUGCUCUUACGGGUGGCGAGUGGCGGACGGGUGAGGAAUACAUCGGAAUCUACUUUUUCGUGGGGGAUAACGUAGGGAAACUGACUCUAAUACCGCAUACGACCUACGGGUGAAAGCAGGGGAUCGUCUGACCUUGCUCGAUUGAAUGAGCCGAUGUCGGAUUAGCUAGUUGGCGGGGUAAAGGCCCACCAAGGCGACGAUCCGUAGCUGGUCUGAGAGGAUGAUCAGCCACACUGGAACUGAGACACGGUCCAGACUCCUACGGGAGGCAGCAGUGGGAAAUAUUGGACAAUGGGCGGAAGCCUGAUCCAGCCAUACCGCGUGGGUGAAGAAGGCCUUCGGGUUGUAAAGCCCUUUUGUUGGGAAAGAAAAGCAGCAGGUUAAUACCCAGCUGUUCUGACGGUACCCAAAGAAUAAGCACCGGCAAACUUCGU
rnacentral:rRNA from 1 species